rnacentral:lncRNA from 1 species
UGAUAACUAUCAAUUAUUCCAUAUAAUGUACUUAUUCCAUAAUAUUUUUCUGGUUUAUGUAUGUAACAAACUAACAUUAACAACAUAGAUAUAUAUUCUCAGAAACAUUUACAUAGUAUAUAAAUUUUUAUGUGUAACGUAACUCUAAUGGCAUAAUGAACGAACUUAUAUAUAAUAAAUAAACCGGCAAAAAAAAAAGAGAAGAAGAAGAGAAGUUUCUGAAAAAUUAUAUAUCUCAGAAGAAAAGAAAAAAGAAUUUUAUAGAAAAAAAAAGAAGAAGAAGAAGAAAGAGUUACAAGAAGAUUCAGCGCCGGCAGCGAGUGAUGACGCUGCAGCCACGACGGUAAGGGUUGGCCUG